rnacentral:tmRNA from 1 species
ACCCUUUUCUUGGGCGCCGGGAAUGCCUAUAUGUGAGGUGCUGCCUCGGCAGCUAUGGCAAUAAACGGGCGGUGUAAUAAACCCAUUGGACCCGGGGGCGGUACCCGGCGCCUCCACCAAAAACCGGUCAACCCUUGACGGACCGGCUUUUGAUGGGGGCGAAAUAGGAUCGACAAGGGCGUAAAGAUCGACUUUUUGCUCGGCAUUGUACCACCGUUAUCGGGCUAAACUUGUAGUUGCAAACGACAACUAUGCGGAAGCUCGUCUCGCUGCUUAAUCGCGGUGUGACACUUCACUCAAAGUCCUGACGGGUCGCACCGGCAGGCGGGGUCCGAAGGCACCUGGCAACAGAAGCCUUCACC